GAUGAAGAACGCAGCGAAAUGCGAUAACUAAUGUGAAUUGCAGAAUUCAGUGAAUCAUCGAGUCUUUGAACGCACAUUGCGCCCCCUGGUAUUCCGGGGGGCAUGCCUGUCCGAGCGUCAUUGCUGCCCUCAAGCACGGCUUGUGUGUUGGGCUCCGUCCCCCGGGGACGGGCCCGAAAGGCAGCGGCGGCACCGAGUCCGGUCCUCGAGCGUAUGGGGCUUUGUCACCCGCUCUGUAGGCCCGGCCGGCGCCAGCCGACAACCCAUCAUCCUUUUCAGGUUGACCUCGGAUCAGGUAGGGAUACCCGCUGAACUUAAGCAUAUCAAUAAGCGGAGGA
rnacentral:misc_RNA from 1 species